rnacentral:rRNA from 1 species
CUCCUACGGGAGGCAGCAGUAAGGAAUAUUGGUCAAUGGACGCAAGUCUGAACCAGCCAUGCCGCGUGGAGGAUGAAGGUCCUCUGGAUUGUAAACUUCUUUAUUUGGGAAGAAACCCACUUUUUCUAAGGUGGUUGACGGUACCAGAUGAAUAAGCACCGGCUAACUCCGUGCCGAGCAGCCGCGGUAAUAC